AGCCCAGCAGCUAGCCCACAACACACCCCCCCCCCAACAAACAACUAUUAAUACCCCUUAAUGACCUUAAGACAAAACAAACCAAACCAUUUUUCCCCCUUAGUAUGGGCGACAGAAAAGGACCUAUGGAGCAACAGAAAAAGUACCGCAAGGGAAAGCUGAAAAAGAAAUGAAACAACCCAUUUAAGCCUAAAAAAGCAGAGAUUUAAACUCGUACCUUUUGCAUCAUGAUUUAGCUAGUACCCUUAAGCAAAGAGCCCUUUAGUUUAAUACCCCGAAACUGAGCGAGCUACUCCAAGACAGCCCAUAUGGGGCAAACCCGUCUCUGUGGCAAAAGAGUGGGAAGAGCUUUGAGUAGAGGUGACAGACCUACCGAGCCCAGUUAUAGCUGGUUGCCUAAGAAAUGAAUAGAAGUUCAGCCUCCGAGAUUCCCAACCCAAACUAGUCUCACCAAAUUUGGCCCCGGGAAGCCCAGAGAGUUAGUCAAAAGAGGUACAGCUCUUUUGAAACAAGAUACAACUUUACCAGGAGGAUAAAGAUCAAA
rnacentral:rRNA from 1 species